CCUACGGGGGGCAGCAGUGGGGAAUAUUGCACAAUGGGGGAAACCCUGAUCCAGCGACGCCGCGUGAGGGAGGAAGUAUUUCGGUAUGUAAAGCUCUAUCAGCAGGGAAGAAAAUGCCGGUACCUGACUAAGAAGCCCCGGCUAACUACGUGCCAGCAGCCGCGGUAAUACGUAGGGGGCAAGCGUUAUCCGGAUUUACUGGGUGUAAAGGGAGCGUAGACGGCUAAUCAAGUCAGAAGUGAAAACCCAGGGCUCAACGUUGGGACUGCUGUUGAAACUGGGUAGCUAGAGUGGAGGAGAGGUAAGCGGAAUUCAUAGUGGAGCGGUGAAAUGCGUAGAUAUUAGGAGGAACACCAGUGGCGAAGGCGGCUUACUGGACUGUAACUGACGUUGAGGCACGAAAGCGUGGGGAGCAAACAGGAUUAGAUACCCCAGUAGUC
rnacentral:rRNA from 1 species